GUCCAACCCCCUGCAAUGCAGUAAUAUGCAGCUGUCACAUAUGGGGAUCGAACCUGCAACCUUGGCAUUAUCAGUACCACGCUCUAACCAACUAAACUACGCAGCAGUGGUAGAGCCAAUGCAUUGCACACAUAAGGUCCCAGUUUCAACCCCAGCAUUUCCUGUUAAAAGGAUUGGUUGGCAGGUGAUGGGAAGGGUCUUUCUCUGCCUGAGUACUUGGAAGGUUGCAGGUUCGAUCCCUGUAUGAGACAGCUGCAUAUUCUUGCAUUGCAUGGGGUUGCAU